UUCCCUCCAUUCCAGGCAACAUCCUAUUAAGUCUCCUCUGAACCCUUCCCAAAGCUUCCACUUCCUUCCUAGUCAAGAAGACUAUUCACUAUCACUUUCAACAGCAAUUACAAAUGUGCAACAAAAUGGCCUGAUUAGCAAGGUUCAUUUCCCAUAAACGAUUUAAAAAUGUUCCAGAGUGGAGAUGAAUAACAAUAUUGAAAGGUAAACAGUGUGAGAAUGAUAGAAUUAAGUAUCUAAUAAGUGGAAUGCCAUCACUAACAUAUCUAGAAAAGAAGAAUGAGAAUUUUAAAAUGUAGAUAUUGCCAGAUCAGAAGUCAAUGUAGGUGAGCAAGCACGGAAGAGAGGGGUAAAUUGGACUUAAUGUGAGUAAUGCAGUUUUGAAUAAGCUCAGCUUAUACAGGGUGGAAGAUGCUAUCAAAAUGCCAGACAACUUUUCUAAUAUCCAGUUCUACGGAGGAAAAUUUCUUCCAAACAUAUACUGGGAAGACUACAGCCAGCCUCUGCCACAAUCUCUGUUCCCUGACUUUUACCACUCUGUCAUUGAGAGCCACUGCUUCAGUCACCAAUUUUGAACUCUGAAUCCAUUGCUUGAACCUAUCCACCUCUUUAAUACUCCUGUGAUAUUAUAGAUUUCACAACUUUAAUAACUGUUCAUGGAUUAAAUUAAAUGACAAAAGAUAAACCGUUACAUACAGAAAGCAGCAGCAAUAACGCUUUCUGGAAUAAAUCGUUUCUUAAGGUGGAAAAGGCAAGGAGAAACUGUUAUAAAGGAGUUAAAAUCAACAUGUGAAUUGACCAACUCUGGAAAGAACCAACAUGAACAAGCUGCUUCCUUGGAGAAAAGAGAUAAAAAUUGCUUGAUAAGCUCUGCCUUGUGAUAAAUGGGCAAACUAAGCAUGUCUGCAGAAGUAAUGUUCUGAAGUAAACGGGUUAAAUUCAGGAAAAACCGUGUUUUAAACAGAUAGCCAACCCAAAGGUAACAGGGCACUGGGAGCUCUCCUCAUGGGUCUGCUCCUGGGCCUGGCCAGGCUGGAUAUAAACAGGUCUAGACAGUGGGUCAUGGCGGGAGUCAGUUCGGCCGACUGCCUGCUCCUCUUCCAGAGCUAUGUUUGAGCGUGGGUGCCCUUGGAGAAGGAGCAUGCGGCAUCCACCAAUUCGCUCACUACUUUUAGGGAGAGGUGGGCAUCGUGGGGGGUGCAGUGCAUUGUUCUCCCUCCAAUUCUAGUUUGAUUUCAUCCUUAUCCUCCUCCCUGGCCAAAUGGGUGUUUUUCCUGGUGGUGGAGAUAUUGAAUAAAAUUACUUGCGCAAUGGUAAAAAAAAAGCAACAGGGGUGCUACUUCUAAUAUUGAGGCAAGCCACAGACUUCAGGUCUCCUGAAACGUAAUCAAUAUUGGGGAUGAAAGAAUCGAAAGGAGAACAAUAAUGUCACAUUACAAACUUGAAAGAGAGAAAAUCGUUUAAGAAUCUAACACUAGGCCAUGUCAGUUGCAGAACUUUGAAGAGCAACACUGUACAAGAAUCGAACCCUGGACGCAUCCAGAGACAGACACAGCUGGUGGAAUCUGGCCAAGUUCCACCAUUAAUCCGAAUCAUCUUUGCUAUCCUUUCUCGACUCGUGAGACCAUGCAGACGCUAUGACAAUGAAUGGACACCACACAACAAUCACCAGACAGGAAUGUUCCCUCCUAAUCGGGGGAACACUUCAGAGGUCAAGGGCAUUCGCCUCUGAUCUUCAGCCUCCUCUGUGACACCUUGUCAAAGACCUUCUGGAAAUCCAAAUAAAUUGUGUCUACUGGCCCUCCUUUGUCUAAUUUGCUUGUUACCUCCUUAAAGAGUUUGAACACAUUUGUCCUCGAUGAAGUCAAGUGUCAAGAAAAUGUUACAUUAGCACGCUACCAAUUACAUUACGUGUUCUUGGCAGUACAGAAAAUACAUUUGCUGAUGAUAAGUUGUAAAAUAGUAUGACAAAUCUAUUCUACUCUAAGUACAAACAAAUUAAACCCUUAUGAAUGACUCAGUGUAAAGAAAUGUUCUCGGUUCAGCUGCUUAAUAAGUCACCUUUGGUAGCUUGGAUUCAGGUAAAUUGUACCAUUUCCAAGAGGCAAUAAGGAAGGAGUAAACAAAAGACAGCCAAGAUUCUUCUUAUCACUUAUUAUUGAGGAUAACUUUAUGUAGUCCAAUAAUGUGUUGAGACUUUUUAGAAAAGUUAUUACAUGCUAGAUUUUAUGGCAAAAUUGAACCCCGUGGGAUAAGAGUGGCUGUAGCAUGGAUACAAAAUUAGUGACAAGAUGCAAAAACAAAGUUGUGGUGAGUGGUUUUUUUUGUAGGCUGGGUGGAGAUUUAUAGCAGCCUUCCCCAAGGUUCAAUGGGGGGGACCAUUGCUGAUUUUACAUUUAUGAACUUAUACAUGGUAGCAGAAGGCACAAUUUUGAAAUGUGCAGAACAUCUGUAAUUUGGAAUUCUAAUAAAACAGGCAGAUAAAAUGAGCAGAGCCAUGUGAAAUAGAAAUUAGCACAGGUUUUGGUUGAAAGAAUGAGAGAAAAUGCUGAAUGGGUUAAUGUUAAAGGGCUUGCAAGAAUGCAGAGAGAAACCUAAGCCUUCUGUGCACAAAUCUCCAAAGGUGACAGGACAGAAUACAUACGUAACACAUAUGAACACACAAAUCAGGAGCAGGAAUAGGCCUUUUGGCCCUUCACUCCUGCUCUGCCAAUCAGUAAAAUCAUGGCUAAUUUGAGUUUGGCCUCAACCCCACAUUCCCAACUACUCCUGAUAGAUUUUUGACUAACAAGGAGGUCAGGGAUUAACUGCCUUAAAAAUAUUGAAGAAUAACAAAAAAAUUCACAAGCAUUUACAUUACAAAAGUCAGGAAGUUAUAUAAACUUGUAUAAAAACACUUAUUUGACCGCCAACUACAAGUGGAAAUAGCUGUCAUGCUCUUUGAAUGAACCAGUGCAAACUCAGUGAGCUGAAUGCCUACCUUCUAUGCUGCACUUAAGAAUGGGUAUAGCGUAUAAGCAAGCAGGAAGAGAGUUAAGGUCUGAGUGUUGUGAAACAAGCGGUUUAGCUGAGCAUGACUCAGAUCAGAUAAGAACUUAUAGUUAACAAUGGAGUGCUGGUGGCAAGGGAAACAGGUUAACAAGAUGGAAAAGCAGUCAUUAUGUAGAGCCAUUUAACAAUAUUAGAAGCAUUCAGUAUGCAA